rnacentral:rRNA from 1 species
GCGUGCCUAACACAUGCAAGCUCUAGCGGUAACAGGUGUAGCAAUACAUGCUGACGAGCGGCGAACGGGUGAGUAAUGCUUUGGAAUCUUCCCAGUAGUGGGGAAUAACCAGUCGAAAGAUUGGCUAAUACCGCAUACGUCUGUAAAGGGAAAGCGGGGGCUCGUAAGACCUCGCGCUAUUGGAUGAGCCAAAGUCGGAUUAGCUAGUUGGUGGGGUAAUGGCCUACCAAGGCGACAAUCCGUAGCUGGUCUGAGAGGACGACCAGCCACACCGGAACUGAGACACGGUCCGGACUCCUACGGGAGGCAGCAGUGGGGAAUAUUGGACAAUGGGGGAAACCCUGAUCCAGCGACGCCGCGUGUGUGAAGAAGGCCUGCGGGUUGUAAAGCACUUUUAGUGGGGACAAAAAGCUGCGGAUUAAUACUCUGUGGUCUUGAUUUAACCCAAAGAAAAAGCACCGGCUAACUCUGUGCCAGCAGCCGCGGUAAUACAGGGGGUGCGAGCGUUAAUCGGAAUUACUGGGCGUAAAGCGCGCGUAGACGGUUUUGUAAGUCAGAUGUGAAAUCCCUGGGCUCAACCUGGGAACUGCAUUUGAGACUGCAUGGCUAGAGUAUCGAAGAGGGAAGUGGAAUUUCCGGUGUAGCGGUGAAAUGCGUAGAUAUCGGAAGGAACACCAGUGGCGAAAGCGACUUCCUGGUCGAAUACUGACGUUCAUGUGCGAAAGCGUGGGGAGCAAACAGGAUUAGAUACCCUGGUAGUCCACGCCAUAAACGAUGACAACUAGAUGUUGGGAGGGUCUGCCUCUCGGUGUCCCAGCCUAACGCGUUAAGUUGUCCGUCCUGGGGGAGUACCGGCCCCCAAGGUUUGA